rnacentral:rRNA from 1 species
GAUGAACGCUGGCGGCGUGCCUAAUACAUGCCAGUCGAGCGAACGGACGAGAAGCUUGCUUCUCUGAUGUUAGCGGCGGACGGGUGAGUAACACGUGGAUAACCUACCUAUAAGACUGGGAUAACUUCGGGAAACCGUAGCUAAUACCGGAUAAUAUUUUGAACCGCAUGGUUCAAAAGUGAAAGACGGUCUUGCUGUCACUUAUAGAUGGAUCCGCGCUGCAUUAGCUAGUUGGUAAGGUAACGGCUUACCAAGGCAACGAUGCAUAGCCGACCUGAGAGGGUGAUCGGCCACACUGGAACUGAGACACGGUCCAGACUCCUACGGGAGGCAGCAGUAGGGAAUCUUCCGCAAUGGGCGAAAGCCUGACGGAGCAACGCCGCGUGAGUGAUGAAGGUCUUCGGAUCGUAAAACUCUGUUAUUAGGGAAGAACAUAUGUGUAAGUAACUGUGCACAUCUUGACGGUACCUAAUCAGAAAGCCACGGCUAACUACGUG